UUUAAGAAUUUGUCUAUUUUGUUCCAGUUGGAAGCCUGUCCUUCUAAGAGUCACCGCAGACCAACAGUGCCAUCUAGUGGACGAUAACCCUCCUUCCACCACUUCACAAUAUCUCAGUCACAAGCUGCAACCCUUCGGACGCCCACUUCCAAAGCAAACCUCCAGUCUUCUUCAAGGUUGUUGAUUCCUGUGGAGGAUGAACAUAGUGGAUGCCUCACAUUUUCAGCACUGCUGUACAGUCUCAUUGGAUCUUCAUUAUGUGUCUGUAGAACAGAUGCUCUAUUUCACAGAGCAGGAAACUAUGGAUAAGCAGUUCAACGCCUGUUCCAAAAUAAAUCAGCCAAUAAAUGGCAAGUCAACAGGAACCCAGCUCCUGUGAUAUCUUGUCUAACAGAUGCUUUACAGUCCUACAUGAACUCAGUCAUACCAGCAUACACAGGCUCCAAAUGCCCCGUCUCACCUUACAUUCAUCUGAACAUGCUGUGGGGAUUAAGUCCUUCUCAAGUUCUAGCAUGUAACUUUUAGCAUAUGUAACUUAAAAA